CCUACGGGCGGCAGCAGUGGGGAAUAUUGCACAAUGGGCGCAAGCCUGAUGCAGCCAUGCCGCGUGUGUGAAGAAGGCCUUCGGGUUGUAAAGCACUUUCAGCGGGGAGGAAGGCGGUGAGGUUAAUAACCUCAUCGAUUGACGUUACCCGCAGAAGAAGCACCGGCUAACUCCGUGCCAGCAGCCGCGGUAAUACGGAGGGUGCAAGCGUUAAUCGGAAUUACUGGGCGUAAAGCGCACGCAGGCGGUCUGUCAAGUCGGAUGUGAAAUCCCCGGGCUCAACCUGGGAACUGCAUUCGAAACUGGCAGGCUAGAGUCUUGUAGAGGGGGGUAGAAUUCCAGGUGUAGCGGUGAAAUGCGGAGAGAUCUGGAGGAAUACUGGUGGCGAAGGCGGCCCCCUGGACAAAGACUGACGCUCAGGUGCGAAAGCGUGGGGAGCAAACAGGAUUAGAUACCCCUGUAGUC
rnacentral:rRNA from 1 species